rnacentral:ribozyme from 1 species
AAAUGUAGAAAUUACGAUCCAAAAAGGCAAAGGCAAAGGUAAGUUUAACACAUUUUUAAUUAUUUCAUUAACAUUUAAUUUGAAUGCUUACAUUUUGCUUUCUCAAUCUUGCAGGUGGCAGACCAACCAUUAGCAGACCAGGAA